rnacentral:rRNA from 1 species
UAGGGAAUAUUGCACAAUGGGCGAAAGCCUGAUGCAGCAACGCCGCGUGCACGAUGAAGGCCUUCGGGUCGUAAAGUGCUUUUCUGGGAGAUGAGAAAGGACAGUAUCCCAGGAAUAAGUCUCGGCUAACUACGUGCCAGCAGCCGCGGUAAAACGUAGGAGGCGAGCGUUAUCCGGAUUCACUGGGCGUAAAGCGCGUGCAGGUGGCUUGGUAAGUUAGGCGUGAAAUCUCCCGGCUCAACUGGGAGAGGUCGUCUAAUACUACCGGGCUAGAGAACAGAAGAGGAAGAUGGAAUUCCCGGUGUAGUGGUGAAAUGCGUAGAUAUCGGGAGGAACACCAGUGGCGAAGGCGAUCUUCUGGACCGUUUCUGACGCUCAGACGCGACAGCUAGGGUAGCAAACGGGAUUAGAGACCCCGGUAGUCCUAGCCGUAAACGAUGUGAACUUGGCGUCGGUGGGUUAAACACUAUCGGUGCCGCAGCAAACGCGAUAAGUUCACC